rnacentral:ribozyme from 13 species
AUUGGAUGCGUCGAAUCAAAAAAAAAAAAAAAAAAAAAAAAAAAAAAAAAGU